rnacentral:rRNA from 1 species
AGCAGCCGCGGUAAUUCCAGCUCCAAUAGCGUAUAUUAAAGUUGUUGCAGUUAAAAAGCUCGUAGUUGAAUUUCGGGGUUAGUAGGUUGGUCAUGCCUCUGGUAUGUACUGGUCUCACUGAUUCCUCCUUCCUGAUGAACCGUAAUGCCAUUAAUUUGGUGUUGCGGGGAAUUUGGACUGUUACUUUGAAAAAUUAGAGUGUUUAAAGCAAGCUAACGCUUGAAUACAUUAGCAUGGAAUAAUGAAAUAGGACGUUCGAUCCUAUUUUGUUGGUUUCUAGGAUUGACGUAAUGAUUAAUAGGGAUAGUUGGGGGCAUUAGUAUUCAAUUGUCAGAGGUGAAAUUCUUGGAUUUAUUGAAGACUAACUACUGCGAAAGCAUUUGCCAAGGAUGUUUUCAUUAAUCAAGAACGAAAGUUAGGGGAUCGAAGACGAUCAGAUACCGUCGUAGUCUUAACCAUAAACUAUGCCGAUAGGGAUCGGAUGAUGUUAAUUUUUAAUGUACUCAUUCGGCGCCUUACG